rnacentral:RNase_P_RNA from 2 species
GCGGAGGGCCGGGCGGCCGCUGCCUGCAAGGGCAGAGGAAAGUCCGGACUCGCCGAAGCGCCGGUGCCGGGUAACGCCCGGGCAGGGCAACCUGACGGAAAGCGCCACAGAGAACAGACCGCUCCGGAUGCGUCCGGAGUCAGGGUGAAACGGUGGGGUAAGGGCCCACCGGGGGGCGGGCAACCGUCGCCGCAUGGCAAGCCCCACCGGGAGCAAUGCCAAAUAGGGAUCCCGCGCGGGAUUGAUCGCUUCGGCGAUAUCGCCGCAGGGCCGCUUCGGCCCGAGGGAUCCGGGUUGGCAGCAUGAGCCCGCGGGCGACCGCGGGCCGAGAUGAAUGGUCGCCUGUCGGGCGGGGCAACUCGUCCGGCAACAGAAUCCGGCUUACAGGCCCUCCGCGCGC